GUGCUCACUUUGGCAGCACAUAUACUAAAAUUGGAAUAAUAUAGAGAUUAGUGUGGUCCCUGUGCAAGGAUGACAUGCAAAUCUGUGAAGCAUCCUGUUUUUU
rnacentral:snRNA from 1 species